rnacentral:rRNA from 1 species
AUACGAAGGGGGCUAGCGUUGCUCGGGAAUGACUGGGCGUAAAGGGCGUGUAGGCGGUUUGUACAGUCAGAUGUGAAAAUCCCCGGGCGUUAACCUGGGAGCUGCAUUUGAGACGUGCAGACUAGAGUGUGAGAGAGGGUUGUGGAAUUCCCAGUGUAGAGGUGAAAUUCGUAGAUAUUGGGAAGAACACCGGUGGCGAAGGCGGCAACCUGGCUCAUUACUGACGCUGAGGCGCGAAAGCGUGGGGAGC